UACGAAGGGUGCUAGCGUUGUUCGGAAUUACUGGGCGUAAAGCGCACGUAGGCGGCCUAUUAAGUCAGGGGUGAAAUCCCGGGGCUCAACCCCGGAACUGCCUUUGAUACUGGUAGUCUCGAGUCCGGAAGAGGUGAGUGGAAUUCCGAGUGUAGAGGUGAAAUUCGUAGAUAUUCGGAGGAACACCAGUGGCGAAGGCGGCUCACUGGUCCGGUACUGACGCUGAGGUGCGAAAGCGUGGGGAGCAAACAGG
rnacentral:rRNA from 1 species